CCCAAGGCAGAUGUGCGUCGUCAAGUCAUCCCUCAAGGAUGUCGGUGUGGCCGUCGCCGCCACCGCAGCCAGCGCUAUCCUCGCCAGUAAUGCCAUGGCCAUUGAGGUCUUGCUCGGCAGCGAUGACGGGGGCUUGGCCUUCGUCCCCAACAGCUUCUCCGUCGCCCCCGGCGAGAAGAUUGUGUUCAAGAACAAUGCUGGAUUCCCACACAACAUUGUCUUCGACGAGGACGAGGUUCCCAGCGGUGUGGAUGCCGGAAAGAUAUCGAUGAGCGAGGAGGACCUCCUGAAUGCCCCCGGGGAGACCUACGCCGUCACCUUGACCGAAAAAGGUUCAUACUCUUUCUACUGCUCUCCUCACCAGGGAGCUGGCAUGGUCGGUAAAGUUACCGUUAACUAAUUCAGUUGUGUCUGAU
rnacentral:lncRNA from 1 species